rnacentral:lncRNA from 10 species
CUGGGUAUCUAUUUCUAGAAGUAAAAUUGCUAGGUCAGAGAGUAUACAUAUGUUCAGCUUUAGCAAUUACUGCCAAAGUUUUUCCAAAGGGAAAAUUAUUUUUAAUAGGUAUUUUAUCCAGAUUUGCCACGACCUAAUAAGGAAUUCGUCCCCACAAUAAAACUAACUGGCUAACCUAAUAGCAAAAAGCCCACCCAAUCAAGAGCCAAGAUAGUUGAGGGACAACAACAGCUCCAAAGGCACCCACUCUCCCUUGAGGAGGUACUCAACAGUUAGGUCUCCUGCAUGAAUUGGCAGUGAAUGAGAUUGAUGCUGGCAUUAGGAAUAGCUAGAACUUUGCAGCAAGACUCUAUGUAGAAUAGAUUUUGGUCACUUGAUCCUCUGCACAUGAUCAGCAAUAGUCCAGUGGUCUCUGCUGACACUGCUCUUCUAAUCCUAAUGGCAUUUUAAUUCUGACUAUCUUCAUAUCAGAGGUAUCUUUAACACACACACAAACACCUCACAGGCAUCUCUAGUGAAGCUGGAGACCUAAGAUCUCAAAACAUGGAGGUCUGAAGUCCCUUUUGUUCCUAUCAGUAUGGAGCUAGAUUCCAUUUUAAGCCAAAUUUAUAUUCUGAUUGUAGAAUUGCAGCAAACACUCAGAAGGCCUUGCAAACAAAAGAGUAAACACAUGGAUAAAUGAUCACUAUGCCAGAUUCAGUGAACACCAUUUUUAUAUUCUAAUUGCCAGGAAUGGGGACAGCUGCAUCAUUGUUUAAAACACACACUCAUGCACAAUUAAGCCAGAACAAAUGUCAACACUGGCACCAUCUGCUAAAUUACUGAUAACUGAUGAGCAUUACUCAUGCUGUGAGCAUUGUCUCCAAUAUAAAAUGGAAAGACUUUUUCAAAAACUUAGAGGUUUCUACCAGUUUUAAAAAGCCAGUUUUUAUAUCAUACAGCACAACUGCAACCUGUCAGAUUAUGUAAGUGACAUUUCACCCAUGUGUUCGAGGAGUAUGUGAUAAGUACAUGCUGUUUUUGUGCCUCUUUACAUUUAUGUUAACAAGCCAGGCCUUCAAGAGGCUGAUUCCUGGCUCUGGGACACUUUGUCUGUGAUGAGGGUAUCUUGCUGUCAGGUGAGCAGAAAUGCCCAGUUAUAACCUUGUAAUCAGAGAGCCAGGGUUUUGCCAUUACAUGGUCAACUGCAGACACAAGACUCUACUUCAUCAGUCUCGUUUUUAAUAAAUUAUAUAACAGAAAAAUGAUUUAAACCCCUUGUUCAGUCCCCUUAUGAAGUACAAAUUGUAUCCAAUAUAAUUUAUGAAAAAUCAUUUAUAAUCUUGAACCUGGAGAUGAAGCCACCUUUCAGCUUUCAUAUCUCCAAGCUGAGAAGCAUCCUCCUGCCUGUCUCAGCAUCACUCCCAGAUAUUCUUCUCCUGCAUUUGUUCCAAUUUAUCCAGUUUGUUUCAAAGGGUAGAGAUAUUAUUAUUAGUAAUCCAUAAACCACCUGAUGCAUCAUAGUACAGAAAGAUUCUCUUGCACCUCAGGCAUGUCACACUCCUACAGUAU